CACCUUUCUGAGCGACCAAUACUUGCGGGUUCGUUCGCCUGGGGUGCCGGGGGAGGCGGUAUUCCCGCCCAUUGGCUCGCCGGGACGCGCUGUGAUUUGUCACUGGACAUUUCGCUAUGCGGUCCCGCCCCUCGCCCGAUCCCGAUAGGCUGGCAGUGCAGGGGCGGUUCGAUCUCCGCGGGCCCAGGCUGGGCGGUGCCGCAGGGCGGGAGGAGAUUCCGUUCUCUGAUUGGCCCGCGGCGGGGCGGGCGCUGAUUGGACGCAGCGGCAGGCUCUGUGCGCGGAGGUGUACGCGGCGGGGCGGGAGUGGCGGAGACGGACCGAGGAAAAUGUCAGCCUUUGUAGAAUAAGCUUAGACACAUCUACAAACAAGAGGAAUCGAAGUCUCAAAAGGUGAGUCUGGAGGAAGAUAGAGAGAGGGAGAAAACAGUCUGGAUUUGAAUUGAGAGAUCUGGACCCAAGCCUUGUGAUGAUGAGCUAUACUCUCAAGAAACAUGACCAGCAAAUCACUGGACCAAAUACCAAUUCUGUAGGUCAUACCAAAGCUAGGUGUGGUGCCCACUGUAGAAGAGCUAAGCAAGACGAUUGAUUUGCUAUCAAGUGGCAAGGCCCCUGGAAAAGAUGGCAUCCCAGCAGAAAUUCUCAAAUGCGGGUGCGACAGGGCGGACCAUCCUCGCACUGGGACUAAGAGGGUUAACCCUUCCCUCCUAGCAGAGGAAACCAUGCUCCCUGAGGUUCUGCUGGGCAUGCUCCAACUGGAGGUCAGGUCAUAAAAGCCUGCAGAGCUGCUCAGUCAGGGCUGGUGGCCGAGGAGGAAGGACACUCAGCGGAGGCUCCAGCCCAGGAGCUGUUACAGCCCUUACCCGGGAGAGCUGAAGAGCCAAGAACCUGGACUGGAGGCCCGCAGCUAUUGGAACCCCAGAAAGCGUCUGGUGCUGAGAGCCCUGGAGACCCUGAUACCACAGGGACUACGGCGGCCGGAGGACUGGUAGGAAGAGACCCAGGGAAGGUAAGGGAGUGGUACUUCCCAUUACUAUAAGGUCAGCGUGUUUCGGUUGGAUUCCCCGCUGACCCCGUGGUGGAUCACUCCGUCUCUGACAGGGUUGGAGCCCAGUGAAGGCGGGUUGGCCUGGGCUCCCCUACCGGUGGUCACUGCCUCCCCCUUUUUUCUUGAGGUGACAUAAUUCCCCAACCCCUCGCUUGCCUCAGAGGAUUUAGAGGGACCCUGGGCCAUUGGGCCAUACCACUCUAGGAGCUUACUAUAUGGACUCCAGCUGCUGGGCUGCACUACCCACUAGGGGGAGAGUUUAGGGGGACUCUGGCCCUUGAGAUGCACCGUACUGACUACCGGAGGAGUAGUAGAACAGACAUAGGUGCAGAAAGGUGGGGUUACCCCUCGCCCCCACCCAGAUAGAAGGGGUGAAUGAGGUACAAAACCCGCAACAGCGGGAAAGACAGCCUAUUGCCAUAUGUUCAUCAGCUGCUACUUAAAUGUUGGAAAGAGAAAGGUACCACAAGAGAUGCAUGAUGCAAACAUCAUCACUUUGUAUAAAAAUAAAGGCGAAAACUGCCACUGCAACAGCUACAGGGGUAUCUUGUUACUAAGUGUAGCCGGAAAAGAUUUCAGAAAAGUCAUCUUGGUGCACCUACAACAGCUGGCGGAUUGUGUCUACCCUGAAUCACAGUGCUGAUUCAGGGCUAGAAGAUCAACUAUAGACAUGAUAUUUCUCUGCAUCAACUCGAAGAAAAGUGCAGAGAGCAAAACCAACUAUUGUACAUCACCUUUUGUGGACCUAGCCAAAGCAUUUGACACAGUCAGCAGAGCAGGUCUGUUUGCAACAUUAGAAAAGAUAGGAUGCCUACCAACCCUGUUAAGUCUUAUACAUUCAUUCCACAACAACAUGAGAGCAACUGUCCAGUUUGACGGGUCCACUUCGGACAGCUUUGAGAUGAAAAGUGGAGUGAAGAAAGGAUGUGUUCUUGCCCCUACACUUCUGGAAUCUUCUUCUCUGUACUCUUGAGCUGUGCGUUUAAGGACAUGAAAGAUGGAGCCCAUCUCCACACAGUAUCGGAUGGGAAAGUUCUUCAACCUGUCCGACUUAAGUCAAAGACCAAAGUAAAACAGGUGGUAAUCAGGGAACUUCUAUUUGCUGAUGAUGCUGACCACGUAGCCCACAAUGAAGAUCUACUACAAGAACUCAUGGACUGCCUUUCAAUGCCUGUCAGGCAUUUGCUCUCUCAACCAUUUUCUUGAUGCUAUGGUAUUAGGACAGGGGAUUCCACAAGAUCCUUCAAUUACCUUAAAUGCAAACCAGCUAGACGUAGUCCAAACAUUCAGUUAUUUAGGUUCUACAGUGACCAUCAACCUCUCACUGGAUGAAGAACUAAAUGUUUGCAUUGGAAAGGCUGCCACCAUAUUUAUCAUUAACUAACUCAAACAACUCAAAGCUUACCAUCAAGUCCAAAAUGUUAAUGUACCAAGCUUAAGUCCCCAGCACUCUCAUGUAUGGUUGGGAAACAUGGACAACUUAUGCUUUUCAGGAGAAAAGGUUAAACGGUUUCCACCUACUUUGUUUACGCCACAUACUCAACACCAAAUAGCAGGAUAAAGUCACCAAUGCAGAGGUUCUUUGAAGGGCAAAUUUACCAAGUGUGACAGCCCUGCUCAAGCGAAGAUGACUGCGCUGGCUGGGCCAUCUGAGUAGGUUGGAAGACAGAUGCAUACCUAAGGGCAUGCUAUAAGGGGAGCUAUCAGAGGGAACAAGAACAGGUCAUUCUAAACUUCACUAUAAAGACAGAUACAAGCGAGAUAUGAAGGAAUUUUGGAAUUGAUCCUGACGAACGGGAAAACUUGGCAAGUGAUCGUGGCAAGUGGCGCAAUCCUCUCCAUCAGGGUAUCAAAGUCCAUGACAGAAGCUGGCUCCUACAGCUUGAAGAGGAGCCCGUAGGAAGCAAGCAGCUCCUAACCAAAAUACAGACAUUUGCAAUAACUGCCAAAGAUCAUGCAAAUUUCGGAUUGGACUAGUUAGUUACAUCAUAGGCUGCAGUGCCUACCGUCUCUUGCAGACGAAAGGAUGCCAACAAAGGAGCUGUAAAUUUGAAGUCACUAAAGUCAGGAAAUGAAAAAUGUAAAGCUCUCUUGGAGCAAUGGUAAUUCUGCUGCUUUGCACUUGUGCAAUAGUUUGGGUUCCUAAUGUGGCUGUUAAAUGUAUUCCAUAGUCUUGCAGGGAACCUAGUUUCUCCAUUGAUAAGAUCGAUGCUAGCUUUCUAUUAGAAGUAUGAUUUUUACACUUGCACCUAUAUUGUUCCGAAUAUCAGCAAAACUAAACCAAGCCGCUUCAAUUUUCACAAGUCAUAAUAGGCAAGGGUGGAUUUUUUCUGGAAAAUUUGACUCUAAACCAGGAGUCUGCAACCUUUUAGAAGUGGUGUGCCGAGUCUUCAUUUAUUCGCUUUAAGGUUUUGCGUGCCAGUAAUGCAUUUUAAUGUUGUUUUUUUUUAAAGGUCUCUCUCU